ACGAUAUGUCUUCGAAAAGCAAUGCGAAAUCAAGUAAAAAAAAACUACACGUCAAGCUAGGAGUCAGUGCUGUGUCAUUAUUAAGUGGAAUCGAGAGCGAUGAAGAAGCGAAGGCAUUGGAAUGGAAGAAGGGAAAUAUUCUGUAUUAUAUGGCACAGGCAGAGUCAUUGUUGAAGACAGAACGAUGGAGACGAAUGCUUUAUUAACAACAAAGUGUAUAACAAAAUGGUUUGUGCUUUGGCUAUUGAUGCAUGAAGCUGAUAUGAUUAAAGAAUGGUAUGUAUUAUAAUAAAUUCUAAAAAUGUGUUCGCUUUUGUAAUUCUCAAAGCCACAGGAAUCGAUCGGGCAUUUUAAUAGUCGUUGUUUAAUACAUUGAAUUUGUCUUUUUAUACAUUACCUCGUAUUAUUUAUUGCAAGUAGUACUAGCAUGCAAGUUAUCAUAUGAGAGUUUCAAUUAUGAAGGGUUUGCAUCAGAUGGUUGGGGUAUGUAUAUUAAUUAGAAUGGCUCAUAUAAACUUGCUAGUACUACAUGCAAUAGAUAUUAAUAGUCAUAAUACGAGGCAACGUAUAAAAAGAAAAAUUCAAGACAAUAUAAAAUAACGACUAUUAAAAUUAUCAAAGCCGAUCGAUUCCUGUGGCUUUGAGAAUAAUAAAUGCGAACACAUAUAUGUUUAGGAUUUAUUAUAAUACAUACUGACAUGAGCUUCAUGCAUCUAUAGCCAAAGCACUAACGAAUUCAGCUGUACACUUUGUCUUCAACAAAUUAUGACUCUGCCUGGUGUGCCAUAUAAUACAGAAUAUUUCCCUUCUUCCAAUGCCUUCGCUUCUUCAUCGCUCUCAGCAUUGACUCCAGUUGUGAGAUUGACGAAAACAUCCUGCUUUUCGUUUACAAUGGAAUGAAAAGCCUUCUUCUGAUACGCAUUAAAACUUUCAAAUUUAAAAAUACUGCAGACUUGUUGAUAUAAAUAGCCCAUGCGUUGAAGGUCAGUGAUGGUCGAUGUUCCAAUUAUCGUGUACAUGAUUGCGACUGGUUAAUUGCCGGGAAGUCAAAUGUAUAGCGAAUGUGAGCAGACGUUAGGUGGGGGGCCUCGGCCACUAACAACGUCUGCGCAGGAGGCUAGAUUAGGGCAAGACAAACUAAAUACUGGUUUAUAAGGGAUGACCCUUACUACAGUAGACCUUCAUGGAAAGAUGGUUUAAUUUUCUGUAGCUAGCUAAUUAAAUCUCUAAAAAUACUUACAUUAGGUUCACCUGACGAAUCUUUGUUAGUCUAAGGGGAUAAAAGCAAGGUCUUAGCUAGGAUUUUAGAUCUUGGGCGUGUUUCUAAAUGACCAAGGUAUGCACAUGUCAAUAACCGGUACCUUGAAUAGCCAAAUUCACGGUUCUAUUUAUACCUAGCCAACAGACAAUGCCUGUGGUUGUUCUAUGCUUUGGAACCAAAUACAAGGCGAGCAUACGCUCAUAUUUCGCACUGACAUUAAAGAAUUAAGUUCUUUCAAUCAGCAACUCUUGGGGGUAUUUAAAACCAUUUUACAGUAACACCAUAUCCAUCGUCC
rnacentral:lncRNA from 1 species